UUCCGGUUGAUCCUGCCGGAGGACAUUGCUAUUGGGAUUCGAUUUAGCCAUGCUAGUCGUGCGAGUUCAGACUCGCGGCGAAUAGCUCAGUAACACGUGGCCAAGCUCCCCUUCAGUCAGCGAUACCCUCGGGAAACUGAGGUUAACAGCUGAUACAAAACGCCAGCUGGAAUGCGGCGUUUCAGAAAGACAUCGCUGAAGGAUGCGGCUGCGGCCGAUUAGGUUGACGGUGGGGUAACGGCCCACCGUGCCAGUAAUCGGUACGGGUGAUGAGAGUCAGAGCCCGGAGACGGAAUCUGAGACAAGAUUCCGGGCCCUACGGGGCGCAGCAGGCGCGAAACCUUUACACUGCGCGGAAGUGCGAUAGGGGAAUCCCAAGUGCGAGGGCAUAUUAGCCCUCGCUUUUCUCGACUGUAAGGUGGUCGACGAAUAAGAGCUGGGCAAGACCGGUGCCAGCCGCCGCGGUAAUACCGGCAGCUCAAGUGAUGUCCCAUAUUAUUGGGCCUAAAGCGUCCGUAGCUGGCCGACCAAGUCUCCCGGGAAAUCCACCCGCCCAACGGGUGGGCGUCCGGUAGAAACUGGCCGGCUUGGAACCGGAAGGCUCAGAGAGUACGUCCGGGGUAGGAGUGAAAUCCCGUAAUCCCGGACGGACUACCGAUGGCGAAAGCACUCUGAGAAGACGGCUUCGACAGUGAGGGACGAAAGCUCGGGUCUCAAA
rnacentral:rRNA from 1 species